ACUUGAUGUCACCCCCGCUUCCUCACCCUGGCAACGGGCGGGUGACUACUUCCGGUGCAGUGAAGGCUCGGGGCUGAAGCGGGGUAAUUCCUCUCCUGCAGUUACUUUUGGAUGGAAGUAUGCCCCUUUCUCAAUAGAAGAUGGUAAUCUUGGGGAAUGACCAUGGAGAAGGGGAUGAGUUCUGGAGAAGGGCUGCCUUCCAGAUCAUCUCAGGUUUCGGCUGGUAAAAUAACAGCCAAAGAGUUGGAAGCAAAGCAGUCCUAUAAAGAGAAACGAGGCGGCUUUGUGCUUGUUCAUGCAGGUGCAGGUUAUCAUUCUGAAUCCAAAGCCAAGGAAUAUAAACAUGUAUGCAAACGAGCUUGUCAGAAGGCAAUUGAAAAGCUGCAGGCUGGUGCUCUUGCAACUGACGCAGUGACUGCAGCACUGGUGGAACUUGAGGAUUCUCCUUUUACAAAUGCAGGAAUGGGAUCUAAUCUAAAUCUGUUAGGUGAAAUUGAGUGUGAUGCCAGCAUAAUGGAUGGAAAAUCCUUAAAUUUUGGAGCAGUUGGAGCACUGAGUGGAAUCAAGAACCCAGUCUCAGUUGCCAACAGACUCUUAUGUGAAGGGCAGAAGGGCAAGCUCUCGGCUGGCAGAAUUCCUCCUUGCUUUUUAGUUGGAGAAGGAGCCUACAGAUGGGCAGUAGAUCAUGGAAUACCCUCUUGCCCUCCUAACAUCAUGACCACAAGAUUCAGUUUAGCUGCAUUUAAAAGAAACAAGAGGAAACUAGAGCUGGCAGAAAGGGUGGAAACAGAUUUUAUUCAACUAAAGAAAAGAAGACAAUCAAGUGAAAAGGAAAAUGACUCAGGCACUUUGGACACGGUGGGCGCUGUGGUUGUGGACCACGAAGGGAAUGUUGCUGCUGCUGUCUCCAGUGGAGGCUUGGCCUUGAAACAUCCGGGGAGAGUUGGGCAGGCUGCUCUUUAUGGAUGUGGCUGCUGGGCUGAAAAUACUGGAGCUCAUAACCCCUACUCCACAGCUGUGAGUACCUCAGGAUGUGGAGAGCAUCUUGUGCGCACCAUACUGGCUAGAGAAUGUUCACAUGCUUUACAAGCUGAAGAUGCUCACCAAGCCCUGUUGGAGACUAUGCAAAACAAGUUUAUCAGUUCACCUUUCCUCGCCAGUGAAGAUGGCGUGCUAGGCGGAGUGAUUGUUCUCCGUUCGUGCAGAUGUUCUGCCGAUCCUGACUCCUCCCAAAAUAAGCAGACACUUCUAGAGGAAGCAUUAAGUGUGAAGUGCCAAUUUAUGAAAUAAGUGAAACCUUGCCGUUUGUUAACUGGAGGCGUUGAUGCUUGUGAAGCUUAUCUACUAAAACCUGGCGAACAUAGGCUAAUGUCAACUUACAGAUGCUACCAAUUGUGUGAACUUUCUAUAACAGUCCCAUCUCCGUUAUUGCUCCCAGAGUUCUUUCUAUAUAACAACUGUGCAGCUGGCCCAGAGAACAUAGCCAUAGGUCCCAAACCAGGGGCAGGAGAGAAGACUUCCCCAAAGAAGAAAGGGCAAAAAUGAGAACUUGACCUACAGAGCCACACCAAUCCCAAGAUCAGAAGGACACUGUUCAACCCAACAGUGACAUAAAUAUAUGUAAUUAGUUUACUGUAUGUCUAAGCUAAAUGUUGAAUCUUCUCAUGUAUGCUAAAAUAAAACAAACAUUGUAUCUCUUACUGUUACUUCCAUGCUCCCUACCUUUAAUUUUUCAGCAGGCAACACACACGCAUACUCACAUGCAUACACACACACUCCCCCCCCCCACACACACACAGACGCACACACACCCUCUGCUGGUGAAUUUCCUGUAGCACAGAUGGGAGCUACCUAACUUGAUGGGAAAUGGCAUCCCCUGAUCUGACCUCAGAAUAUGCUUUCAGUGUUAUUUCUAACUCGUCCUUUAAAAAAAAUUGACAAAUAAUUGUAUAUGUCCAUGGAGUUCAACUAGUUUUUCUUUUCCUUCGUUCAUUCUCAAUAUCUUAACUCUGGCCACUCCAAAUCACUUGGUCUUCCAAAGAGUUAUUUUUGCUUUUUCCCCCAAUAACUUGCAUAUGCUCUUGCUGUGUUAAGCUCUGGGCCAAUAAAAGUCUUUAAAACCCUGAUCAAAUGUGAAUCUUCGAAUCCUCUGGAAGUCCUCCCCCCAGGUAAUUUGCUCCUUCCUUGUGCUCUGUUAGCACCAUGCAGUUGACAUUCCUUCUAAUAAUGACUGUGACACAUCCUAGCCCCUUCUCGUAGGCCAGCACUUCUUAAUCUUUUUUUCCGAACUCAGUUAUUUGAGAGGAAUAAAUUACAGGUCUUUGAGCUCCAGUGACACACACAGGGGUUAUAGAGGUUUGAAAUAUCUUCCCAGGCACUGGAAAAUUCCAUUGCUUCUAAGAAUCAUAACACCAGAUUGUGAGCUAUUCAAGGGCAGAAGCCACGUCAUAUUGAACUUAAUAGGCUCCCAAUAAUUAUUGGAUGGAUGAAUUAGGUGCCAAAUGGAGUUUCUUUAUUGAUUAUUUAGCAGAAACUUUAAAAGAAGUUGACUCUUCUUCUAGAAAAAUGAAAUAUAACAGAGUAUAUCCUCAUGUUCAUAAAAAACAAACAAUAUUGGUUGGAAAUGUUGGAUAAUGAGGAGCAUCCAAGAACUAGAUGAUUUUGAGGCAGUUUAAAGGGAUCACAGAGGAAAGUCUCCACAAAUAGCCUUGUAAAAAGGACAAUUAGGAUGUGAACAUGUUUGCAACACCCAUCCUGCAACCUCCUACCUCCAGAUCAUGAGUUGCUGACAAAGCCCAGCCUACAAAUCGCUGAUUUAACGCAAAGCAAAUGCUUGUCCCUGGAAUGAAACAGCUGAAAAGAAUUAAUUUUCUCUCUGCUUUUAGAGAAAAAAUAAGCCAAUAUAUUUUUACCUGCUGAAGUACAAUUACAUGUGCUUUCCAGGCCUCUACAGAAGUGCUUUAUUGAGGCUGCCGUAUAUAGUAUGGUUAAUAAAUGGAUAAACAAAGGCAUAUCAAAUCAAGUCUUCUGGUGAAAAAAUGAGUUCUUUACCAUUUUAAGCUUGUAAUUAGAUACAGGUAAUUAGAAUAUAUGCAAAUAUAUAGCAUAAACAGCCAAUCUUAGUAUAUGGGUUAAUUUCCUAUUUUGCACCUUGUACCAAAACAUGUGUUGUUGGGAGCCUGGUAAACCCUCUGAAGUUCAGGGGUGUCUGCCAGGGAGUGGUCAGUAGGAAGCAGUGAAUAUGGAGAUCAAUGAGAAACACAUUCCAUAUAUUUAAGAAAAAUCUUAAACAAUUCAGGGUAGGAGGCAUAUGGGCUCUUAGAGGUUAAAAAAAGGCUGUGUAUUUAGCCAGUGGCGUUUGUGCCAAGCUUGUGUUGGAGUUCUUCAUCCUAAACAGAUCUGAGGCCCACAGUUCACCCAGAGCCUGAUUAUGUGAUGAGCACACAUGGGAAUUGUUACCUUGCCAUUAAGUUAGCCCCACCUUACCCGGAGAAUAACUUCAGGUUCUUUCCUAUCGACAGAUGUGUUCAUAAUGCUGAUAAUUAACUUUCGUACAUGAUACUGCUUCCAUUUGUGCAGCUACCCUUUUAUCCAGUUUUGUUUUCAUCUUUUACUAUGAAAUGUUUCAUAUAUUUUUAAAAGAAGGACAUAAUAAAUUUGUAAGUUAUAAAGGACAAUAAUAAAAUGAACACCUGUGGACCUGCCACCCAGCCUAAGAAAUUGCCCAUUACCCAUAUGUUUGAAGCCCCAUGUGGGCCUCUCUGAUCUUACUACUGUGCUUUCUCCCCAUCCUUUACUUUGUGUUUACCCCCUGCUUUUCCUGAAAGCUUUUUUCACACUUUUGUGUAUCUCUAAAUAAUACAUUGUUUAGUUUUCCUUGAUUUUAAACUUUAUAUAAAUGGUAUAUCAUCAUAUGAUUUAUUUUAUAAAAAUUUUUGCAUGUUCUCACAUAAUUACCUGAAAGGAUAAGGAGUUAUCUUAUCAUUGUAGACAUAGCUCUAUCAAAUCAAACUGUUUUACUGUGGCCAGUUAGAACUUAAAUGCAGUGUUUUUCUCCCUCUUUUCAGAAUAGGCAAAGUUCUUUAUCGAGUGCUUUGUUUUGUUGCUGUUACCAAAGUAUGCUGUGGUUUCAAAAUAAAAAAUGUUAAAUUGAAUUGGUGCUUCCUGGAACAUUAAAAAGAUAAAAGGUUAUUUUACUGUAAGUUAAAAUUCCAAACCGCCUUUUGGUUUUACUGGUAUUAAAAAUUUGGCGAGCACAUAUAAACACACAUACUUCAAAGGAGCUUCAUUCUUAGGGCACCAGCAAUAUCACUUAUUUCCAUUACAUGGCACACGCCACAGUGAGCACUUAUGACUAGGCGUUUCUGCUGGGCUCACAUGAUCAUAAAAAUAACCGUCAAAGAGGAGGCAAAUUAGCUUUUAGGCUGGUAGUGGGAAAAGAGGUACUUAUAGAUGUUUGUCUGAUGUGAAUAACUUUAUCUUAAAAAUGGUUUUAAAACUUUGUUCUACGUGACAGUCCAUUGUCAUGGUUGGAAGCUCAUUUCUUUAGUGCCUCAGCAAUGUUUUGGAAUUGUUACAUCUUCACUGUAGUGAAGAUAUCUCUUAAGAGAUAAGCCACAUUUUAGUUCUUAUUUAAGGAUCAGGUGGAAAGAAAAACAUUAAGUAACUUAGAUGCAAGGUGAAUAAGGUAGACAUGAUAUUUAAACUUUUCAACGAUGAAGAGUAGCAUUAAUCUGAUGAAGUAGUGCUCUGAGAUUAAUAUUUUCAGAAUUAGUUUUGGUUUUAUAAUACAAAGAUGUUGAUUGCAAGUAUCUAUAAUCUGCCACUUUGUUUAUACCAGAACUUUCUUUCCUUUAAAUCAUGAACGUAUCUAUAUACAUUGUAUCACUAAUAUACUCUGAAUAAUGGAAAUAGAUUUUCAUCUGUAAUUUUCUUUUCCAUCAUGAGAAGUAUAGUUCUAGCGAUUAUCUUGCCAAGAAUUGUUAUUUUUUGGCUCAGAAAGUUUUCCAUCUGAAAUACAGAAUACAAACAUUUAUGAAUAGAAUUCUAGUGACUAUGUAAUUCUUAUUACACUCAGGAAAUUUUAUAGUCAGUUUCAUCUGCUCCAAGGGUAAUAGAGUUUACCAUGAAAUAAAUCCUAAAAAAGUAUUUGUUGAAUGAAUAAAAUUGUGUUUUAAUAAAACUUGUUUUACUGAAUGGUUUUGUGUUCACCAGAGAACUUCCAAGUCCCAACCAAGUGGCCCUCUGUUUCCAGCAGCUUCUAAUACAAUAAAAGGAUAAAACAGGAAGAUAACUGAAGUGUCCUCCAGGGCUUGUGUUACUAUUUGACCCACAUCGUCCUCUUUUCAGUCAGCAUCCUUCAUUAUUUAGUCUCGAACAAAUCUGAACAAGCCUUGGAAAGAGGGAAUGAUUAUUUUCUUGGCUUAGUGUAACCAGGAUUCUAUAGAACUCAAUCCCCAUUGCUCCCAAGACAGUUAAGUGGUGAAAGUUUUUCAGGGAAGCAUGCCAAGUCAAAGUUUCUUCACGGCCAUAAUGGGACAUGCAUUAUAUGAGUCUUAAGGAUUCUAUGUCAAGACAGUAAAGCGUCUUUGCAUUUUUUUUUUUUUUUUUUCCUAAAGAUAAACCUCCUACUGGUUAUAAAGACCCUAACAACCAGGGGCAAAAAUCUACAGCUAUAAGAGGAGGCUGUGUUAUUUACAGUGCCUCAUUCUUCCCAUUUAAAAAAUGAAUUUCUCUUUAUUCAAUAAGGAGUAACUUAAAUACUGUGCAGAAUGGCGUAGGGCAUGCCAUUUGACCUAAGGCUCAGGAGUGACAGCUUACUUGGCAACUGCCCAGCCCAAGACAGUUCUGAUUUUAGAGUUCUGUUUUCCUUGCAAGCCAGUCUGGGAUGUGAAGCCAAGCACAGAGGUUUUAAGUGGGUGUGGGAGCCAGUGCAGCUGGGGGUUGUUAACAACAAUUGGAGGACAAUAUAUGUAUAUAUAUCUUUAAAGAGGAGGAGAGUGGCUGAUGACUUCUUUCUGGUCAGAAAAAUGAAUCCAUUUGGAUAGAAAAAACUUACUUGCAACCUGGUAAGGAAACUGUUUUGUCUGACUUAAUUUAAACAAGGUGAUAUGUGGAUGAUUUUGAAAGAGAAGUAUCCUAGGGGAAACAUCAUGAGAUAAGUAGCUUAUAGCUCUUUUAACCCAUAAAGCUGGUGAUUUAAAUGCCACUAGGAGGCAAAGCCUUGCAUUGGGGAUUAAGGACUGCUUUAUAUAGCAGAGCUCCACCAAGACUGAAGUCGUACCACUGUUGGGCAUAUACAUUUACUUGUACCAAAUUCUUAAAUACAACUUUCUGGAAAGCCUAGCUUCUAAAAUUAAGUACAAAUACAUCGUGAAGGUUCUUAUAAUGCAAUUAAUCCAUCAUUGAUGAAGUGCACACGUACAGCUCAUCUCUGUCUAAGCCAUUCUCCAAUGUUGAAACAGGAUCAAUAGUGUGUACCUUUUCUCACAUUGCAUUUGUAUGACAUGAUAUGUUAAGAAGCCACUCGUUGGAGAAUUCUGCCAAAUCUGUGUCCAUGUUUCACAUGUUGAACCUACUCAGGAACUUAUUUUAGUGUGUUGUUAAUGUUUUCUGAUGAGAAUCUUUUCAUGGUCUGGACAUUUCUAGAAGUCCCACAAAUCCCUGGGCUUUGGCCUUCUAAAGAACCUAAGCAUUUUUCAAUCAGUAGUUGAGGUUAUAAACAGUUACUAGUCACUACCAAAGGAAAAUGGUAAUUACUGAAAGGCUAGAAGCUUCUCUAGAUGGAAAUAAGCUUGAGCUUGACCACACCAAGACUGUUAUAGCCAGUGCUUUCACAGGCUCAGAUGUGUCACUUCAGGCCACUCAUUUACCCUGCAUGUUGCCUGAGUUCAUGGUCUCCCUCAUGUAACAAUUAUACCUUGAAAAAUUCCAGGGCUAUGAAGUAGCGUUUCCCAGGUUUGCUGUAUUAUUAGAAUUAUCUUUUAAUACUCUUACCAUAAACUUCAAUUUUCAGUAUAUGGAAGAAUUUCAGAUUAAGUACUCAAAAUCAGGAGAUACAUUAUAGACUCCCAGAUAUCACUGAUGGUAAAUGCUACUUUUUUUUUUCCUCGCUCUGUUGCCCAGGCUGGAGUGCAGUGGCAUGAUCUCGGCUCACUGCAAG